CCUCUCUGCCCCUCCACCAUUUUAGGAGGAAGAGAUGGGAGCGACAGAGGUGAGGUUUGCUUUGAAGCCAAGAAGGAAGAGGGAGGAGGAGGAGGAGAUUAAGUCAACUCAUGAAGACUGAAGUUUCCAAGUUUUUAGACCACGGUUUCCAGAAAUCCCUGAUGAAAAAGGACGCUGGCUGGAAAACUGGAAAACUUAAGUGUAAAAGCUACUUUCUUGAACUGGACCACGAGGAAUCUCCCAUCACUAUGGGCACAGGCCAUGGGGAUGUGGGAUUCUGGGGAAUUUAGCCAAAAUGUGACUUUUCUAAAUGCUGAUUAUAUUUCAGAAA